GGCCUCAUGGCGCAGUGGUAGCGCAUGUGAUUCCAGUGCAAAGACUUCCGCCGGGCUUCCACAAGGUCAUCCGUUCAAAUCGGGUUGAGGUCA
rnacentral:tRNA from 1 species